CCGCGGGAAGUUCUUUUUUGUCUUUGUCACCGUGCCUAAACUUCAGUUGAUUGGCGUGUGCACGAACCAGUCGACUUCGUGUUUGAACAAGCACAUUAUACAGAACUUUGCCAACCCGCUCGAUGAUUUUCCCAGAUACUUGGUAAGAAGAAGGUUUCAGUAAAUCCAAUGAUGUCCGUAUUCGUCUACCCAUCAGUGCUUCAGCCGGAGACAACUUGUUAGGAACAUUUGGAUUUGGAAUGGACCUAUAACACUGUAGGAAAACAGAAAGAAAAUCCAUUGACGAAAAGUUGCUACUAUUUUCCCCAGCUUGUAGUUUAGCAAGUCCUCGCUUGAAAGUAUCCACGAAACGCUCAGCCUGCCCAUUUGAGCUAGGAUGAAAAGGUGGGCUGCGUAUGCCGAAGCGAGCAAAAAUACUUUGAAGUAAACUAAUUGUUUGCUGUGCAGAAAUUGACUGUGUCAGUAUGACUUCUGGCCAU